rnacentral:rRNA from 1 species
ACGGUAUCGGCUGCAGCUUACCAUGCAAGUCGAACCAGUGAGACAGCACAGGUAAGCUUGCUACUUUGCUGACGAGUGGCGGACGGGUGAGUAAUGCUUGGGAAUAUGCCUUAUGGUGGGGGACAACAGUUGGAAACGACUGCUAAUACCGCAUAACAUCUCCGGAUCAAAGUGGGGGACCUUCGGGCCUCACGCCAUAAGAGUAGCCCAAGUGGGAUUAGCUAGUUGGUAAGGUAAUGGCUUACCAAGGCGACGAUCCCUAGUUGGUCUUAGAGGAUGACCAGCCACACUGGAACUGAGACACGGUCCAGACUCCUACGGGAGGCAGCAGUGGGGAAUAUUGCACAAUGGGCGCAAGCCUGAUGCAGCCAUGCCGCGUGUGUGAAGAAGGCUUUCGGGUUGUAAAGCACUUUCAGCGAGGAGGAAAGGGUAAAUCUUAAUAGGGUUUAUCUGUGACGUUACUCGCAGAAGAAACACCGGCUAACUCCGUGCCAGCAGCCGCGGUAAUACGGAGGGUGCGAGCGUUAAUCGGAAUUACUGGGCGUAAAGCGCGCGUAGGCGGUUAAUUAAGUCAGAUGUGAAAUCCCAGGGCUCAACCUUGGAACUGCAUUUGAAACUGGUUAACUAGAGUUUUGUAGAGGGUGGUAGAAUUUCAGGUGUAGCGGUGAAAUGCGUAGAGAUCUGAAGGAAUACCAGUGGCGAAGGCGGCCACCUGGACAAAGACUGACGCUGAGGCGCGAAGGCGUGGGGAGCAAACGGGAUUAGAUACCCCGGUAGUCUACGCAGUCAACGAUGUCUAUCAGAAUUUUGUGGCUAUAUGCCGUGGGAUCCACGCCUAACGCAUUAAAUAAACCGCCUGGUGAGUAGGGCCGCAAGGUGAAGACUCCGAUUGAUUUUGCGGGGGGCCUGCACAAGCGGCGGAAGG